rnacentral:rRNA from 1 species
GACGAACGCUGGCGGCGUGCCUAAUACAUGCAAGUCGAACGCUUCUUUCCUCCCGAGUGCUUGCACUCAAUUGGAAAGAGGAGUGGCGGACGGGUGAGUAACACGUGGGUAACCUACCCAUCAGAGGGGGAUAACACUUGGAAACAGGUGCUAAUACCGCAUAACAGUUUAUGCCGCAUGGCAUAAGAGUGAAAGGCGCUUUCGGGUGUCGCUGAUGGAUGGACCCGCGGUGCAUUAGCCAGUUGGUGAGGUAACGGCUCACCAAGGCCACGAUGCAUAGCCGACCUGAGAGGGUGAUCGGCCACACUGGGACUGAGACACGGCCCAGACUCCUACGGGAGGCAGCAGUAGGGAAUCUUCGGCAAUGGACGAAAGUCUGACCGAGCAACGCCGCGUGAGUGAAGAAGGUGUUCGGAUCGUAAAACUCUGUUGUUAGAGAAGAACAAGGACGUUAGUAACUGAACGUCCCCUGACGGUAUCUAACCAGAAAGCCACGGCUAACUACGUG